UAAAUAUUUUUGUUUAUUCUUUCUCCUCCAUUAGCUUACAGGCUCUCUCUGUUUUGUUCCCUUUCCUGAAGGAAACUAUAAUUUUUUGUGUCAAAAAUAUUUUCUCCUAUGAGUUGCAAUCUUCAGGGAAAGGACGUAGCUUCAAACAAAGGCAAAUGCUUUCUCCUUAGCCAAAGUAACAUAAAGGUCACUUUCUGUAAAACAUCAGGAUAUUGCAUUUUAAAAUGCUUUCCAUAUAACAUUAGUUUGAUGAACGGCUUAGCCUAGGAUUCUGCACCUAGUUCCAAUCAAAACCAAGUUGUGAACAGAUCCCUUCUUUACACCAAUCUCAUCUUUCAAGAACGAGCUAAAGGUUCAUGAAUUCCUUCCUCAAGAGGCAGUUACUUUUCAAGCUAAGGACCAAGCUUGAAACAAGCAUAUACCUGCACAAGGGAGGUUUAAUUUCACUACAGAGCGAAUCAUUUUUUCAAGGAAACCAGAGGGUGUGUCAUACAGCAUCACUGAAUAUUCUAAUAUGCGAUGAAGCUGUUAUGCUUCCUUAUGAACUUUAUAAAUCUUCAUUUUUAUGAGGCUUAGAAUUCAUCCCCCUUCCCUCUUCCACUGUUUUCCCGGGGUCACAGUUGUAGUAUAGUUUGCCCAAUGGAUUUCGCAUGGUCAUUGUACCUGGAAUAUGUCACGCUCCCUACUCUUACUGCCCCCAAACUCUUCUCAGCAGAGAUAGGCUGAAAGCAGCUCGCUUUUAGGCGGCGACGCAAACACACGUAGCCAGCUGAGCGACAGCAAGCAACCAAAUGGCUUUGCUGGAGGCCCCCUGCGUGCACGGAUAAAGGAAGGAUCCCGUCCACAGACCCAAUUCUUAGGGCCGCCUUCUCCCCGACGGAGGAAGAAGCUUCCUGGCAAAAGGACGAACAGGUGCGACGCCAGCAGUUCGCAGCCUCUCACCUGGCCGGCGGGCUGGGCUACUGUCACCACUCAGCAGCCAAGGA
rnacentral:lncRNA from 1 species